rnacentral:rRNA from 1 species
AGAUGGCGACCGGCGCACGGGUGAGUAACACGUAUCCAACCUGCCGAUAACUCGGGGAUAGCCUUUCGAAAGAAAGAUUAAUACCCGAUGGUAUAAUCAGACCGCAUGGUCUUGUUAUUAAAGAAUUUCGGUUAUCGAUGGGGAUGCGUUCCAUUAGGCAGUUGGUGAGGUAACGGCUCACUAAACCUUCGAUGGAUAGGGGUUCUGAGAGGAAGGUCCCCCACAUUGGAACUGAGACACGGUCCAA